GUGUGUGACCAGCUUUAGGCAGAGAAAAACGUAAGUCGUAAUAUACUACUAGAGUCUAGAAUAGUAUACUACGAUAUGUACGACUUACAUUACAUACUACGACUACGACUACGAUACCUACGUCUCGUUCUCUGCCUUCGGCCUAACUCCGACGUUGUUAAAUCCGACGUGUAAACGUAGUCAUUGAUAACCUUUGAUAAUGCUUUGGAUAUGCUGAUAAGGCUCUUAAUUAUAAAAUUACAGUGAUUUGAAGUCAUUCCCUGUACAUGUGACUGUUGAGUAUGCUGCGAAACGACAAAAGAAUUCUUAAGCGGUUCUCUAACUGUAGAAUCCUGCGUGACAGCAGGAUUCAGACAGAGGAUUUAUGGGUGCGAGAUGGAAAGAUCGUGAAUCCGGAGAAAAUCUUCUAUGACGAGAAGAUCAAGCCAGAUGUUAUGAUAGACUGCGGCGGCGCUUUGAUCUCGCCGGGAUAUAUAGACGUGCAAAUUAAUGGAGGAUUUGGCAUAGAUUUCUCAUACAACAUUGACAAUGUUGAAGAAGGCAUUGCCAAAGUAGCAAAAGGAUUGUUGGCACAUGGAGUAACAUCAUUUUGUCCUACAUUGGUUACAUCUCCCAUUGAAGUGUAUCACAAAAUUUUACCGAAAAUAAAGAAACAAAAUGGAGGUAGCCAUGGUGCUAGUGUAUUAGGUCUUCAUUUAGAAGGGCCAUUUAUUAGUCCAAACAAGAAGGGUGCCCAUCCUGAGCAUUAUAUUAGAAAAUUUGAUCAGGGAUUUAAAUCAGUUAUUGAUAUGUAUGGUGAACUGGACAAUGUGUGCAUGCUCACAUUAGCACCCGAAAUUUCAAAUGCUAUAUCUGUUGUUGAAGAAUUAUGUAGAAGAAAUAUCAAAGUAUCUCUUGGACAUUCUAUAGCAAAUUUAAAUGAAGGAGAAGAAGCAGUUAAACAUGGAGCAUCGUUUAUCACUCAUCUAUUCAAUGCCAUGUUGCCUUUUCAUCAUAGAGAUCCAGGAUUGGUUGGUCUCUUAACAUCUGACCAAAUUCCGUUUGGAAGAAUCAUUCAUUUUGGUAUAAUUUCUGAUGGGAUUCAUACUCAUCCUGCAGCGUUACGAAUUGCUCAUAGAACGCAUCCUAAAGGUCUUGUACUUGUAACUGAUGCAAUAUCAGCAUUGGGUCUGGAGGAGGGAAUUCAUCAAUUAGGACAAUUUAAAAUAGAAAUACGUAAAAGUUGCGCCUAUAUCGCUGAAACAAAUACUCUGUGUGGUAGUAUGGCUGAGCUUUCCAAAUGUGUAAGAUACUUUAAAGAAGCUACAGGUUGCACAGUAGUUGAAGCUUUAGAAGCAGCGACUUUACAUCCUGCACAAACCCUAGGCAUCGAUUCUUACAAAGGCGUUCUAAAUUUUGGAGCCGAUGCUGAUUUUAUAUUACUCGAUAAGAAACUUGAAUUAUUGUCGACAUGGAUUUCGGGAGAGUGUGUUUAUGAAAAAAAUACUGGCAGUGUAAAGCAAUUUGAUGUGUGAACGAACAGGUAUUCUAAGCGCAAAUUGCGCGAAUGUAUUGUCAAAGAAACAAUGAAAAGAAAACAAAAUGAUUAAAUACAUCUAACUACUGUAUCGAAUUGAUUAAUUAGUUACCUGGAACACUGUUUGGUCUGCUCAUGGGUGGUCUAAGGCCAAAAGUAAAUUGCAAUGCUUUUUCCAAUAAAAGCAUUGCCUUCUCUGGACUGUAUUCACCCGGACCUGGAAUAUUAAACAAGACAAAAGAUGAAUUAGAAAAUAAGUUGUAGAUAUUAUUAAUAUAUAUAUUGUAUGCUUAUGGGAACAAGAAUACAAGCUACCGUGUUAAAAAGUUUAAGAUAUUCAGUCUGCUGACAUCUGCCAAUAUUUUGUUAAUUAAGAUAUUAUUGAGUAUUAAUUUAAUUUAUUAUAUAAUUUUGCAAGUGUAAACAAUAGUAUAAAAAAUAGUGCAGAUUUAUAAGAGAACGCAACUAACGCUCUAAGGAUAUCUUUUAAGGCUAUGAUUAUCAAGCUGUGAUUAUAUAAUAGUUGUGUUUAAUUAUAAAUUAUAAAAAUAUAAAAUUGUUUUUGUUUUUUAAGAUCGGUUUUGAUAACUAUUCGGCUGCAAUAUUUGACACGUGAUUAGGAUAAACAACAAAAUAAAAUGUAAUAAUUAAUACUAAAUUUUUGUAAUAUUGAAAAAUAAUAUUUACUGAAAAAUAAUAUUUAUGUAAACGCGCACGUGCUCGCGCAUAAUGGUUUGUUGGAAAGUGAUUUGAUUCAAAUAUCAAAGCAAUCGAUAAAACUAAUGCUUAUUUUGAAGGUUUAGGGAAAUUGUGUUUUUUAUACAGAUGGUAUAUAAAAAAAAGUUAGAAUAAAUAUAU
rnacentral:misc_RNA from 1 species